GCUCUUCAGAUCUGUAAAGGAGAGCUCCUGUUCCCUGGCAUUGCCUGAAGGGACCCCAGUCGACAGCCACAAGCAACCUGCGAAGGGUGCUGCGGAGAUUCCAUGCCCUACUGUCAA
rnacentral:lncRNA from 1 species